rnacentral:rRNA from 1 species
CCUACGGGGGACAGCAGUGGGGGAUAUUGCACAAUGGGGGAAACCCUGAUGCAGCGACGCCGCGUGUGGGAAGACGGUCCUCUGGAUUGUAAACCACUGUCCCCAGGGACGAAGAUGACGGUACCGGGGGAGGAAGCUCCGGCUAACUACGUGCCAGCAGCCGCGGUAAUACGUCGGGAGCGAGCGUGGUCCGGAAUUACUGGGGGUAAAGGGAGCGUAGGCGGGACUGCAAGUUGGGUGUCAAAUCUACCGGCUCAACCGGUAGCCGCACUCCAAACUGCAGUUCUUGAGUGAAGUAGAGGCAGGCGGAAUUCCUAGUGUAGCGGUGAAAUGCGUAGAUAUUAGGAGGAACACCAGUGGCGAAGGCGGCCUGCUGGGCUUUUACUGACGCUGAGGCUCGAAAGUGUGGGGAGCAAACAGGAUUAGAUACCCGGGUAGUC